GGUGGGCAGUGGGAAGAAGGGAAGGGACCGCCCCGUGGUUGGGGGUGACUCCUGGCCUGACCUUCUCCUCGCCCCGCCCCCACACUCAAGGGGAGGAGUUAAAGCUCGGCGUCUGGGGAGAGGCUCCGGGAACUCCGUUUACAGCAACUCCACCAUUUUGCAGGUAGAAGACAUGGAGAAGGACCGGGUGAGAGACAAUGGGACAAAUUGCUGAGCACCACCCUGAGGAAGAAAAGCUAAUGGCAAUAUUCCAAAAGGGCUUCUAGGUGUAUCUUAGAACAGUGUCAGGAUCUAUACCUGGAGAUGCUACUGCUUGGAAUAUGCCCAAGACCAGCCAGUGGCGCCUGGGUGGCUCAGCUGGUUAAGCAACUGCCUUCGCCUCAGGUCAUGAUCCCAGAGUGCUGGGAUUGAGUCCUGCCUCGGGCUCCCAGCCCCAUGGAAGUCCCUGUGAUGAUCUCUCUAUUCCCACAGAAGUCUGAAUACCUCAAUGGAGAAGUCAGUCCUUAGAUUUCCAGAGCCACUUCUUCUUUACAAAAGGUCUAUAAAGUUUCUAGGCAGAACUCUGGCCUCCAAGUGAUCUUUCCUUCCCCUGCAAAGGCCCAGCCCAUAUCCCAUUCCUGUGGAGAACUGAAGCAUUUAUGGACAAAGAAGAUGUUACCUGAAGAAGUGUCAGCUCUGCCUUUCUCCUGGGGGCACUGGCAUUAUAAAAGGGGACUUUACAGACACUCUGUGCAGAUAUAUGUGGGAGGAAGAAGGAGAGUUUACAAAAACAAGUUGCAUUUGAAAUGAUUGUCAGGUUCCCUAAAAUUUUUUGAGGAAAUUCCGAGAA